UCCGUGCCAGCAGCCGCGGUAAUACGGAGGGUGCGAGCGUUAAUCGGAAUUACUGGGCGUAAAGCGCAUGCAGGUGGUUUGUUAAGUCAGAUGUGAAAGACCCGGGGCUCAACCUCGGAAUAGCAUUUGAAACUGGCAGACUAGAGUACUGUAGAGGGGGGUAGGAAUUUCAGGUGUAGCGGUGAAAUGCGUAGAGAUCUGAAGGAAUACCGGUGGCGAAGGCGGCCCCCUGGACAGAUACUGACACUCAGGUACUGCGAAAGCGUGGGGAGCCAAACAGGAUUAGAUACCCUGGUAG
rnacentral:rRNA from 1 species